GAUGAACGCUGGCGGCGUGCCUAAUACAUGCAAGUCGAGCGAACGGACGAGAAGCUUGCUUCUCUGAUGUUAGCGGCGGACGGGUGAGUAACACGUGGAUAACCUACCUAUAAGACUGGGAUAACUUCGGGAAACCGGAGCUAAUACCGGAUAAUAUUUUGAACCGCAUGGUUCAAAAGUGAAAGACGGUCUUGCUGUCACUUAUAGAUGGAUCCGCGCUGCAUUAGCUAGUUGGUAAGGUAACGGCUUACCAAGGCAACGAUGCAUAGCCGACCUGAGAGGGGAACGGGCACAAGUGAACCGGAGACCGGGCCGAGCCUCCACGGGGGGGAGGAGGUGGGAAUUCUACCGCAGGGGGAAAAACCUGAAGGGCCAAACGAGGGGGGGGAAAGAAGGUUUUUGGGACGGAAAAACUCUUUUUUGGGGAAUAAAAAUAUGUGAAAGUAACUGUCCAAAUUGGGAGGGACCAAAAGAAAAAGCCCGGGAGAACCUACG
rnacentral:rRNA from 1 species